ACAGCUGAUUUCUGGCAUUGUCUGCUGUGCCACCUUCAGAACCAUUCAAAGGAUGCUCUAAGUGCAGGACUGAGUAACCUGGACUAAGGUUUUAAAACCAAAUAAAACCAAAACCUCUCAAGGCGAGGAGAACUGGCCCCCAAGGCAGCACAGCUGUGUUGAUUUUUAAAGGCAGUGUAAACAAGUGCCUGGGGAGUUGCUGAGGUUACCUGAGUGACAGUUUGAGCACUGCAAAGCUUUUCUCCUUUAACCUGGCAUGACCAAGCUGGACAGGUGGAAACCUGAG